rnacentral:rRNA from 1 species
UACAGAGGGUGCGAGCGUUGUCCGGAAUUAUUGGGCGUAAAGAGCUUGUAGGCGGUUUGUCGCGUCUGCUGUGAAAAUCCGGGGCUCAACCCCGGACUUGCAGUGGGUACGGGCAGACUAGAGUGUGGUAGGGGAGACUGGAAUUCCUGGUGUAGCGGUGAAAUGCGCAGAUAUCAGGAGGAACACCGAUGGCGAAGGCAGGUCUCUGGGCCACUACUGACGCUGAGAAGCGAAAGCAUGGGGAGCGAACAGG